GUGUGUGUGGCUCAGUCUACAGAGUACUUGCCUAGUCUGCAGGAAGUCCUGGGUUCAAUCCCCAGCACUGCAUG
rnacentral:tRNA from 1 species